rnacentral:rRNA from 1 species
CCCAGACUCCUACGGGAGGCAGCAGUGGGGAAUAUUGGGCAAUGGAGGAAACUCUGACCCAGCAAUGCCGCGUGAAUGAAGAAGGUCUUCGGAUUGUAAAGUUCUUUAGUCAGGGAAGAAGUCAAUGACGGUACCUGAAGAAUAAGCUCCGGCUAACUACGUGCCAGCAGCCGCGGUAAUACGUAGGGGGCAAGCGUUAUCCGGAUUUACUGGGUGUAAAGGGGGCGCAGACGGCAGCGCAAGCCAGGAGUGAAAGCCCGGGGCCCAACCCCGGGACUGCUCUUGGAACUGCGCGGCUGGAGUGCAGGAGGGGCAGGCGGAAUUCCUGGUGUAGCGGUGAAAUGCGUAGAUAUCAGGAGGAACACCGGUGGCGAAGGCGGCCUGCUGGACUGCGACUGACGUUGAGGCCCGAAAGCGUGGGGAGCAAACAGGAUUAGAUACCCGCGUA